AACGAGCGCAACCCCUCGCUGCCUGUUGCCACCACGAGAGGUGGGGACUCAGGCGGGACCGCCGGUGACAAACCGGAGGAAGGUGGGGACGACGUCAAGUCAUCAUGGCCCUUAUGUCCCUGGGCUACACACGUGCUACAAUGGCCGGUACAGAGCGCAGCGAGGCCGCGAGGCGGAGCGAAUACGCUUAAAGCCGGUCCCAGUACGGAUUGGAGUCUGCAACCCGACUCCAUGAAGUUGGAAUCGCUAGUAAUUGCGCAUCAGCAUGGCGCGGUGAAUACGUUCCCGGGCCUU
rnacentral:rRNA from 1 species